rnacentral:lncRNA from 1 species
GCAGCCUCGGGAAUGGAAUUAGGUUUACGGCCAACUUCCGGAGGUCGGAGUUCAAUUGCCCCGGGAACCGCAGACAGCAGGUAACUCCGCUCAUCGUUGUUGAGAUCAGGUGGUUCAGAUCUCCGACUGUUUGAAUUGAAUCAGUUGAUUCGUUAAUCUCAAUAGUUUGACCGAAAAAUUCAAAAUUGAUGAAUUGAGAUCAGGUGGUUCAGAUCUCAGACUGUUUGAUUUGAAUCAGUUGACUAUUAAGUUUAUCUCAAUCAAGAAAAUUCAAAAUUUAUGAAUGGCAGUUGGAAUGCUGUUGUUUGACUUACAGCUAGGGUUGGUGAGCUUGAGGGUUCUGAAGCAGAUGUCAUAGAGGGCUUCAUUGUCAAGGACCAUACACUCAUCAGCAUUCUCAACAAGCUGAUGCACAGAGAGGGUAGCAUUGUAAGGCUCAACCACAGUGUCAGAGACCUUAGGAGAUGGGAAAACUGAGAAUGUGAGCAUCA